rnacentral:rRNA from 1 species
UACGUAGGGGGCUAGCGUUGUCCGGAAUCAUUGGGCGUAAAGAGCGUGUAGGCGGCCCGGUAAGUCCGCUGUGAAAGUCGGGGGCUCAACCCUCGAAUGCCGGUGGAUACUGUCGGGCUAGAGUGCGGAAGAGGAGAGUGGAAUUCCUGGUGUAGCGGUGAAAUGCGCAGAUAUCAGGAAGAAUAUCCGUGGCGAAGGCGGCUCUCUGGUACGGCACUGGACGCUGAGACGCGAAAGCGUGGGGAGCAAACAGG